AUUGAACGCUGGCGGCAGGCCUAACACAUGCAAGUCGAGCGAGCGGCGGACGGGUGAGUAAUGUAUGGGGACUGCCCGAUAGAGGGGGAUAACUACUGGAAACGGUGGCUAAUACCGCAUACUAUCGGAUAACCCAUAUGGGAUUAGCUAGUAGGUGGGGUAAAGGCUCACCUAGGCGACGAGCUCUAGCUGGACUUAGAGGAGGAUCAGCCACACGGGGACUGAGAAAGGGCCCAAACUCCUAAGGAGGCAGCAGUGGGGAAUAUUGAACAAAGGACGCAAGCCUGAUGCAGCCAUGCAGCGUGUAUGAAGAAGGCAUUAGGGUUGUAAAGUACGUUCAGCGGGGAGGCGUUACCCGAAGAAGAAGCACCGGCUUACUCCGUGCCAGCAGCCGCGGUAAUUC
rnacentral:rRNA from 1 species